GUAAUUUUCGAAAACAUUGAGUUUAGUAAUAUUGCUUAGUGCUUACACUCCUUUUUUUUUCUAUGAAAAAUCUACUCAAACCCAUUUAAUGAGUGUUGAUAUGGAUGGACUGCCCGUUGGAUUUGAACUCAUAUUUCCAAGUAACGGAUUUGAACUCAUAUGACCAAGUCUAGUGCUGACAUAUUAGUAUAUUACACUACACAAUUUCAUGUGCAACAUCAAAUAGUAGCUACAAAUGACUACUAUGUGAUCCUCCAUAUACUCUGGCUAUAUCUUGUUGGUGAAGUCUAUAAGGCUCGGUUCCAUAGUUUUCUUUUGCACCGUAUGUAUUCAUUUUGAAACUGGUAGCUCUUUUCAAGAUCAUCUCCUAAAAUCGCUUAGUUUAUGUUCAAAAAGACCUCCCUGUAAGCAUUGCACAGUUGUUUCUUCUGAAUACCUCUGGGCUCUGGGCCAAGCCUGUUAUUUCCACUGUUCCUUUUCCCUACCUCUCCCUCCCUUCUCACCAGAGGUUCCAGACAUACCACAAAUAGCAACAACUAAAAGGAUCUUCAAGGCACCUUGACAAGAUAAUGACAAUUUCAUGUCAGCAAGGUUUGAGAGAUACAAUUGGCAGUCCUUCAUACAUAGAUAUACAAGUAUAAUAUCCAUUUGAGACCAAAUAGAGCUUUUACUGGAGCUGUAAUAUCAAUUGGAGCAACUUAUAACAACUUUUUCCACCCGUAUUGGGCCCAAUAUGAUUUGACAGUACUUGCUUUUUGUAUGCAAAUUUGUAUCAUUUGGGACAAAGUUAUCUUGUAAUAUAGUCUCAACUCUCAAGAAUCUGUUCAAUUGUUUAAACUUUAAGGUGAUUUUCGAAAACAUUGAGUUUAGUAAUAUUGCUUAGUGCUUACAUGAAAAUCUCACUUACAUGAACAGUGGCGGAACUAGAAGGUUUUUGUAGGGGGGUCAAAAUUUUUAAACCAAACAGGUCGAAAUUAUUAAUACCACCACUUGCCUCUUUUGUGCUAUGUCGGAAUUUCAGUUGGUUUGGUUCACAAACGGUCCCUAAGCAGUGCCACUCUCUGUAGAAACGACCCUUGAAGCAAUUCACAACAAAUCCCCAAUUAAACCCACUAAUUCUAAGCCAAAACAGUCCAACUUUUCUCUCAGGCAAAUUAUCGAACACCUUGUGUGUGCUCUGAAAACCCAACUAGACAGACCUUGCCUAAAAGAGCUCUAACCAGAUUUUCGACAGUGGAAAUCACACCAAUGCACAGUAAGAAAUACACAAAUCCAAACAAUUAACCCACAAAUAACUUCUGAUUGACUAAAAUCAAAAUUACCUUGAGGGAGAAAAUGCAUAGUAAGAAAUACACAAAUCCAAACAAUUACCUUUCGUAUGUUGGUGAUGGACUGCAGCAAAGAAAUGGUGAGGGUUGUGCUUAGCAGAAUGGAGAAGUUUUGUGGAAAAGAAGGGAUGGUCUCCCCAAGAGCCGAGUUCAGCUUCUCCUCAAACCCAGUCCCACUCGCCCGAGUCCACAGCACUGAAGAAGAAGAAGAAGAUGAUGAUGGCAGAAGAAGAAGGAAGAAGCAGCAGUUGACUGGCNNNNNNNNNNNNNNNNNNNNNNNNNNNNNNNNNNNNNNNNNNNNNNNNNNNNNNNNNNNNNNNNNNNNNNNNNNNNNNNNNNNNNNNNNNNNNNNNNNNNCUCCCCUCCAUGAAAAUGUAUUCACUUGACACCAAAUGUCUUGUUAAAGUCUUGGAAAUUAUAGUUGCAUCAUAUACAUUAGAGGGCCAAAUCAAAUGGGAAUAUGUUUUUGGCUGCUAAUGGUAUACUGGCACUCUAAUAUGUCCAUUCUCCAAUAUUGAAUAUAAUACAGCUCUGCCACAUAGUUACACAUCAUAAAAAUGUAAUGAAUCUCAACAUAGCAUUAAGAAAUAUAUGAAGGAAAAUUGCUUCAACUUGCCUUGACAAAGAUAAAUCAUACCUAUCAAGUUUGGCAUCCCUUGCUGUUUUCUCUGUGAGCUCAAGUGCUCCUGAGAUGAUUAAUAUUCACUUGCAUGAAUAUUGAUGAAUGCACAUGAAAAUUUUAAAAUAGACUCUCUUAACGAUGUACUAUUCUAUUUAUUAUUGUAUUUUCUUCAAAUAUUUAUUGUAGUCUAUAAAGUCUAAUUUGUUCUUUAUUUUACAAACUAUUUAAAUGUUUGUUCUUUAUUGUUUACAUUUUUUAUAAUCUAUGUACUUUAGGUAUGAAACAAGCCGGUGAAACUCAAAAACAAAAAAGGACUAGAGUGAGUUCGAGGAAUGAAACAUUAGUGAAGACUUUUUCAGAAGCAUGUAUUCGUGAGGUUGUGGAAAAUGGUAGGGAAGGUUCCCAAUUUUGAAACGGAUGGCUCCUUACCCUUUUACAGUACAACGGGAUAUAGUUAUCGCUUGCUUCGCAAUCCACAAUUUUAUAAGGAAGUAUAACAUUGAGGAUGAAUUAUUUGCUCAAUAUGAUCGAUAACAUGUUUGACGAUGAAGCAGAGCAAAAUGAACGGAACGAAGAAGAGGGACAAGAUGAACCGCAAUGGGGAGAUCAAGGCAUAAAAUUUAUGGUUAAUCUACGUGAACAAAUUGCACUUCAACUCUUAAUAACUGUUUGAAGUUCAUUUAAUUUGUAUGGUUGAAUUAUUAUACUAUGUUGAUGUUUUCAUUAGACAAUACAUUUCGUUUCAUCAUAUUGUGGUCAAAAUAUUAUAAACAUAUAUUUAAAAUACUAUUCAAACAGGUUUUUGCUUAAACUGUUCAGACCUUUCUGAUUAUCAAACAGGUUUUUGCUUAAACUGUUCAGAGGGUUAAAAUAGUAAAAUACGGCUAUUUAGACAUUUUUUAUUCAGACACAAUUCUGGACAGAUGCUCUAUAUUAUUCAGAUGUCUAAACUAUUCAGAUGUCUUAACACUCAGUUUUAUAAAACACCACCUAAGUAGUAGUCACCAUAAGUACAGCUUAAUGGUAGAAUCAAUUCUAAGUAGUCACAGUAAAUACAGCUUACAUUGCAAUUUAAAUGUCGACAAGCAAUUACUGGAGAUGUUUCUGUCGAUCCAUAUCCAUUUUGAAUAUAGUAUAGCAAACCUUUGAAAUUCCAAUAGCAGACUGAAUUGUACUGUAGACGAUCUUCUUUGCCAACAUGUGUAUCGACCACAAUAUAGC
rnacentral:lncRNA from 1 species